rnacentral:rRNA from 1 species
ACACAUGCAGUCGAGGGGCAGCAUAAAAAUAGCUUGCUAUUUUGGUGGCGACCGGCGCACGGGUGCGUAACGCGUAUGCAACCUACCCUGUACUGAGGGAUAGCCCAGAGAAAUUUGGAUUAACCCCUCAUGGUAUUAUUGAAUCGCAUGGUUUGAUAAUUAAAGGAUACGGUACAGGAUGGGCAUGCGUCCUAUUAGCUAGUUGGUACGGUAACGGCGUACCAAGGCGACGAUAGGUAGGGGGCCUGAGAGGGUGACCCCCCACACUGGUACUGAGACACGGACCAGACUCCUACGGGAGGCAGCAGUGAGGAAUAUUGGUCAAUGGGCGCAAGCCUGAACCAGCCAUGCCGCGUGCAGGAAGAAUGCCCUAUGGGUUGUAAACUGCUUUUAUUUGGGAAUAAACCUCCUUACGUGUAGGGAGCUGAAGGUACCAAAUGAAUAAGCACCGGCUAACUCCGUGCCAGCAGCCGCGGUAAUACGGAGGGUGCAAGCGUUAUCCGGAAUCAUUGGGUUUAAAGGGUCCGCAGGCGGACUUAUAAGUCAGUGGUGAAAGCCCAUCGCUUAACGAUGGAACUGCCAUUGAUACUGUAAGUCUUGAAUUCGAUCGGAGUGGGCGGAAUAUGACAUGUAGCGGUGAAAUGCUUAGAUAUGUCAUAGAACACCGAUAGC